rnacentral:rRNA from 1 species
GACAGAGGGUGCAAACGUUGUUCGGAAUUACUGGGCGUAAAGCGCGUGUAGGCGGCUCUGCAAGUCAGGUGUGAAAUCCCACGGCUCAACCAUGGAAGUGCACUUGAAACUGCAGGGCUAGAGUCCUGGAGAGGAAGGUGGAAUGCUUGGUGUAGAGGUGAAAUUCGUAGAUAUCAAGCGGAACACCGGUGGCGAAGGCGGCCUUCUGGACAGUGACUGACGCUGAGACGCGAAAGCGUGGGGAGCGAACAGG